CUCCGGGUGAUCCCGCCGGACCCGACUGCUAUCAGAGUGGGACUAAGCCAUGCGAGUCAACGUAGCAAUACGUGGCAUACGGCUCAGUAACACGUAGUCAACAUGCCCAGGGGACGAGGAUAACCUCGGGAAACUGAGGAUAAACCUCGAUAGGCCAUGAUUUCUGGAAUGAUUCUUGGCUCAAACCUAUAUGGCCCCUGGAUUGGACUGCGGCCGAUCAGGCUGUUGGUGAGGUAAUGGCCCACCAAACCUAUUACCGGUACGGGCUCUGAGAGGAGGAGCCCGGAGAUGGGCACUGAGACAAGGGCCCAGGCCCUAUGGGGCGCAGCAGGCGCGAAACCUCUGCAAUAGGCGAAAGCUUGACAGGGUUACUCUGAGUGAUUUCCGCUAAGGGAAUCUUUUGGCACCUCUAAAAAUGGUGCAGAAUAAGGGGUGGGCAAGUCUGGUGUCAGCCGCCGCGGUAAUACCAGCACCCCGAGUGGUCGGGACGAUUAUUGGGCCUAAAGCAUCCGUAGCCGGUCCUGCAAGUCUUCCGUUAAAUCCAGCUGCUCAACAGAUGGGCUGCGGGAGAUACUACAGGGCUAGGAGGCGGGAGAGGCAAGCGGUACUUUAUGGGUAGGGGUAAAAUCCGCUGAUCCAUAGAAGACCACCAGUGGCGAAGGCGGCUUGCCAGAACGCGCUCGACGGUGAGGGAUGAAAGCUGGGGGAGCAAACCGGAUUAGAUACCCGGGUAGUCCCAGCUGUAAACGAUGCAGACUCGGUGAUGGGUUGGCCUCGCGCCUGCCCAGUGCCGCAGGGAAGCCGUUAAGUCUGCCGCCUGGGGAGUACGGUCGCAAGACUGAAACUUAAAGGAAUUGGCGGGGGAGCA
rnacentral:rRNA from 1 species